UCAGGGCAUGGUUGUUUGCAGAGAGUGGCGGACACUACUUUGAUCCUUUGACAGAUAGUUCUUCAUAAUGUGAUAGUGUAUAGGUCUUCUUCCUGGGGACCUACUGCUCAACUACUGCACUCCUUGGCUGCUACCGACCAAAAAUUUUACAAAUCUGUCUACAUGUUUUGUUUCUAUAUAUUUACAAAUAUCCUAUCAAUCCAUUUUUAAAAUGG
rnacentral:lncRNA from 1 species